rnacentral:rRNA from 1 species
UACGAAGGGGGCUAGCGUUGCUCGGAAUUACUGGGCGUAAAGCGCACGUAGGCGGCUUCUUAAGUCGGAGGUGAAAUCCUGGAGCUCAACUCCAGAACUGCCUUCGAUACUGGGAAGCUCGAGUCCGGGAGAGGUGAGUGGAACUGCGAGUGUAGAGGUGAAAUUCGUAGAUAUUCGCAAGAACACCAGUGGCGAAGGCGGCCCACUGGCCCGGUACUGACGCUGAGGUGCGAAAGCGUGGGGAGCAAACAGG